UCCCCCGUGGCGCAAUUGGCUAGCGCGUCAGACUGUUAUUUCCCAACAGAUGACAUCUGGAGGCUGGUGGUUCAAGCCCACCCGGGGGAG